AUUCCUACGGGAGGCAGCAGUAGGGAAUCUUCCGCAAUGGACGAAAGUCUGACGGAGCAACGCCGCGUGAGUGAUGAAGGUUUUCGGAUCGUAAAGCUCUGUUGUUAGGGAAGAACAAGUACCGUUCGAAUAGGGCGGUACCUUGACGGUACCUAACCAGAAAGCCACGGCUAACUACGUGCCAGCAGCCGCGGUAAU
rnacentral:rRNA from 1 species